GGUUGUUCCAACAUAUGUCCGAUAGAGUCACGAUGUAACAAUAUUGUUACAACGUUGUGUCGUCAACCUUGUAACAUUCUUGUUAUAUCAUGACUGUAUCAGACUUGUUAGAACAACC
rnacentral:miRNA from 1 species